UCAGCUCGGCCUUCAGAAACGAGAUCUGCUUUCUCCUCUGCUUGUUUUACUCCCUUCAGAUGUGCUUGAUUCACAGGGAGCAACUGUGCUUGCUUGAUUCUAUUCAACCCUUGAGCUGAGCAUUUUCUUGUCAUUGCCUGAUCGCUGUAAAUCUAGCCGACACUGGCCCUAGUGAUUGGGUAGCGAAUUUUCUGAUGUGUGGCAGAGGUGAUGGCAUUGAUCUUGCUAAUAUAAAGCUUAUUACAAGUGGGGAGUAGACAUCGAGAUCUAUCAUGCCCGUGGUAACUGUUGUUGAGCCAUUAAAGCCAGUCAGUGACCUCACUGGUUUCUUGAUCUUUGUCUCCAGACCCAUCUAUUGGAUAAUGGCCAAUUGUAGGAUGUUGAUUACGCUGCUCUUGUCUGUAUGGACUCAAUCGACUACGGCCUGAGCGAUUUGGAUGCUGAUGAUGAGGGCGUCGUUGUGUAGCAAAUCGAGGGCGAUUAGAUCUUUCUUUUGGAAAUCGAUCACUGGAUCAUCUUCUGCUAAUAGAAGGCUUCACAAUGGCCUGUUUGAUCUUCCUCUUCUUUUCUUUGUUGGUCAGGCUGGACUCCUUGGAGUCGGCCAGGAUUGUGUUAAUCCUUAUGACCAUCUAAGGUGGCUCCUUGGCGGUAUCGUACUCUUCAAUCUGCUGGAUGGGCUGCUUUGUAAUGAAUUUCGUGCAGUGACCUUCUCUCACCAGUUCUUCGUGUAAUGACCCU
rnacentral:lncRNA from 1 species